rnacentral:lncRNA from 1 species
CUUCCCUCUCUCUCAUUUUGGCAGCCAUUCCUCUCAUCUGUCUUCACUCCGUCACCGAGGCAAAGCAAAGAAUCUUGUAUAUUUUUCAACAAUUUCUCUCAUUUAAUUUCUGAAGCCUUUAAUCCCAAACUCCAAUCUAGUUUUCUAUCUUCAGCCCCUUCUCCUCUCAAAGUCCUAACCAUUUGGACCCGAUCAUCCCAAUUUCGUC